rnacentral:rRNA from 1 species
ACACAUGCAAGUCGAACGAGCGAGAGAGAGCUUGCUUUCUCGAGCGAGUGGCGGACGGGUGAGUAACGCGUGAGGAACCUGCCUCAAAGAGGGGGACAACAGUUGGAAACGACUGCUAAUACCGCAUAAGCCCACGGCUCGGCAUCGAGCAGAGGGAAAAGGAGCAAUCCGCUUUGAGAUGGCCUCGCGUCCGAUUAGCUAGUUGGUGAGGUAACGGCCCACCAAGGCGACGAUCGGUAGCCGGACUGAGAGGUUGAACGGCCACAUUGGGACUGAGACACGGCCCAGACUCCUACGGGAGGCAGCAGUGGGGAAUAUUGCACAAUGGGGGAAACCCUGAUGCAGCGACGCCGCGUGGAGGAAGAAGGUCUUCGGAUUGUAAACUCCUGUUGUUGGGGAAGAUAAUGACGGUACCCAACAAGGAAGUGACGGCUAACUACGUGCCAGCAGCCGCGGUAAAGCGUAGGUCACAAGCGUUGUCCGGAAUUACUGGGUGUAAAGGGAGCGCAGGCGGGAAGACAAGUUGGAAGUGAAAUCUAUGGGCUCAACCCAUAAACUGCUUUCAAAACUGUUUUUCUUGAGUAGUGCAGAGGUAGGCGGAAUUCCCGGUGUAGCGGUGGAAUGCGUAGAUAUCGGGAGGAACACCAGUGGCGAAGGCGGCCUACUGGGCACCAACUGACGCUGAGGCUCGAAAGUGUGGGUAGCAAACAGGAUUAGAUACCCUGGUAGUCCACACCGUAAACGAUGAUUACUAGGUGUUGGAGGAUUGACCCCUUCAGUGCCGCAGUUAACACAAUAAGUAAUCCACCUGGGGAGUACGACCGCAAGGUUGAAACUCAAAGGAAUUGACGGGGGCCCGCACAAGCAGUGGAGUAUGUGGUUUAAUUCGACGCAACGCGAA